rnacentral:rRNA from 1 species
UACGUAGGGACCGAGCGUUGUCCGGAUUCAUUGGGCGUAAAGAGCUCGUAGGUGGCUUGUCGCGUCUGCCGUGAAAGCCCAUGGCUUAACUGUGGGUCUGCGGUGGAUACGGGCAGGCUGGAGGCUGGUAGGGGCAAGCGGAAUUCCUGGUGUAGCGGUGAAAUGCGCAGAUAUCAGGAGGAACACCGGUGGCGAAGGCGGCUUGCUGGGCCAGUUCUGACGCUGAGGAGCGAAAGCGUGGGGAGCGAACAGG